CCUACGGGUGGCUGCAGUGGGGAAUAUUGGGCAAUGGGCGCAAGCCUGACCCAGCAACGCCGCGUGAAGGAAGAAGGCUUUCGGGUUGUAAACUUCUUUUAUGCGGGACGAGCCAAAUACGGUAACCCUUUAAUUAGCCCCCGCUAACUACGUUCCAGCAGCCGCGGUAAUACGUAGGUGGCCAGCGUUGUCCGGAUUUACUGGGUGUAAAGGGCGUGCAGCCGGGAAGACAAGUCAGAUGUGAAAUCCCGCGGCUCAACCGCGGAACUGCAUUUGAAACUGUUUUUCUUGAGUACCGGAGAGGUCAUCGGAAUUCCGUGUGUAGCGGUGAAAUGCGUAGAUAUAAGGAAGAACACCAGUGGCGAAGGCGGAUGACUGGACGGCAACUGACGGUGAGGCGCGAAAGCGUGGGGAGCAAACAGGAUUAGAUACCCCUGUAGUC
rnacentral:rRNA from 1 species